UACGUAGGGGGCAAGCGUUAUUCGGAAUUAUUGGGCGUAAAGGGCGCGUAGGCGGCCUGACAAGUGGAUGGUGAAAUCCCUCGGCUCAACCGGGGAACUGCGUCUGAUACUGGAUGGCUUGAAUUCGGGAGAGGGAUGCGGAAUUCCAGGUGUAGCGGUGAAAUGCGUAGAUAUCUGGAGGAACACCGGUGGCGAAGGCGGCAUCCUGGACCAAGAUUGACGCUGAUGCGCGAAAGCCAGGGGAGCAAACGGGG
rnacentral:rRNA from 1 species